CAAGUAAUGAUUAGCGGCACAAUUGAGUAAAACAUGCAGUGUCCUCUCCUCUCAUAUGCAUUGCUUGUGUAUUCUGUAGCGCGAAGUGGAUUGUCCAUUCUACCUCAAGACUGGCGGGUGAGAUUCAUGUCUGCAGGAAUUAUUUUCGUCACCUGUCUAGUUAGAUUUUCAUGCAUUUAUACAACUUAACUCUCGGCACUCAAGUUUGUCUUUUGUCACUCAUAAAUUGUUUUAAAAUGUUUGAGGAAGAUCGAGUUUUUUCUAUCCUUAUUUUUGGUAGAUACCCUGUAGUAGCCGUUAAAGAGAAGGGAGUUGAAGGUUUCUUCAGGGGCUGUAUUGGCCAAGCUAGGAGUGGACCAGAAAACUAGGAAAUUUGAUGAGGAUCAGGCUCCACUAUAUCCGUGAAUUUCCAUCAUGGGCGUCAACCCUCAAACUAAGAAGUUUUCCAACCAUGUGGUGUUAUGUACUUGUUGGGGAUGAUUAUACUCUUGACCUACCUCCACAUGAGUCAUUUGGUGCCCUAGUAAUGACAUCAAUGAAGUUAAAUUUGAGGUUACUUCUUCGUGGCAUAUUUUCAUCAAGGGGUAGACUACAGGAAAACUGGUAGUCAGUAGCAAAUGGCAUGUCAUAAUUUUUUUAUGCCAUUUGAUUCAAGUCAAAUGAUGUCUACAAGCACACUGAAAGCUGUGGAGUAUAGAGGAAAACAACCUUUGAAUUUUCCUUACUAAAUUCAGGUCUUCCAAUCCAGGACAUUUUCAGGGAAUGGUCCAUUCAGGUUAAAUGAUGAAUGAUUUUCUCACGUUGUGGUAAAUUGGACAGGUUAUGAUAUUCUUCAGUGCACAUGGGGUGAUAGUAAGUUAUGUUGAGGAUGCAGGGGAUCCUUAUAGAGAUCAGAUGGAAGAUUGUAUCAGUUUAAUAAUGGAAGAAUUGAAAUCUAUAGGAAUUGCCAACAGUCACACUCUUGCAUACCAGGUAAUUCAUUUAAAAUUUUAGCUUUUAGUUUCUAGGUUUGAUUUCCAACUGCUCUAUGCUUCUCAGUUCUUCAGUUUGUUUGCCACUUAUGAGACAUCUAAAUCACCAUCAUCUAAGCCUUAUCCCGACUAAUUGGUGUUGGCUUCUGAGACAUCUAAAUAAACAGUUAAAAUUACAUAUGUGCUACACCAACCAAGGCUUUAGAACUUGCCAAAACCAAGUGGACUUGGUUUCGCUAAGGAACAAAUUGAUAGGUCCCUUUGAAAUAUAUAUGUUUUAGGAUGAGUUGUUGUGUGACAGGUGGCAGUUUUAACUAACAGAGCUGCAAACCUAUAUAUUCCUAACUACCCAAGUCUCCCAUCUCAGUUGAUGUGCCAGGUUCACAAUGUUACACUACAUGCAUGUUUUAACUCAUACUCAAUCUUCCUUUAGUUUUUAUGUUUCCCUUAGUAGAUGCUCUCUAAUACCUGUCUGAUUGCAUAUAUUGCUUGGAACUACAGGCAAAGAGAGAUGCUGAUGAGAUUUACACCCAAGCGACUCUUCAGCCAGUGAACUCUGUAAGCAGAAUUUGUCGUUAAUGUUGACUGAAUUAUGUCUCCCCUUGCGAUCUUUGAUCUUUGAAGCUCACAGCAAUUUUCAUUUGUGCAAUGCUCGUGCCCUUGUUGGAAAACAAUUCUCUGCACAGGGGUCAUGAAAUUCCCCUUAGAUGGGAAGCAGAUUUUACUUGCUUGUGAUUCUUUUCCAUGUAUUGGCUUCUUUACAUGCCCAGCCAAGACUCAGUGAGUUUGGUAUCCCUGAUUCAGUGAUUCGUACAAGAUUUCAUAUAGGUAUUUAGCAAAUUUGAGUUGACUCGGCAUGUUUUCAAUUGUGCUUGGGUCAAGAAGCUAUUAGAUUCUUUAUGAAUUUCUUGUGGUUUUCUAACUAGAGAUUAGGUGCAGGACUAGCUAUUGGCUUGUAUUCUGGCAUCACAUAUGGUCAUCCUUCAAUGAUUUUGGUUUCCAAAGUGUUCUUUUUAUUCUUGAAUUUAAAAGAUUAUAAAGGCUUUGAUUGCAAGUAAGGAUGUCAUCAAAGCCCCGGCCUGAUCAUUCUGGAGAAAGUAUUAGGUCAUAAGAUACGGAUUAAGUGAGGAAGACAUUUUAUACAAAUGUUCCUGAUGAAUACAUGCAAGUUGUUGAAGAUCUGGUUGUCCCAAGGACUGAAUUUGGUAAUGCAUCAAAGAAAGAGCAUUACCAUGUGAAGAUAUUAUUUUAGCCUCCGUGGUUACUUUGUUACCAGUUUCCAUUGAAUAGAGGAAGUUGUAAUGUUCAAAAGUUUUUAUUUUUAUUUUUUAUUUUGUUAUCUAAUGUAGGUGCUUGACAAACAUGGAGUGACUCUUUCUUGCAAAUGUUCUGCAACAAAAGAUGGUGGAAAACUUGAGCGUCAUAAGGAAAGUAUUACGCCUUCCUCUAAUUAAUAUUCGUAACUAAAUACUAUUAGUAAAAUGCAUGUGCAUUGCAUUUAGAAAAUAAUUCAAAGUAUGCAAAAGAAAAAUAAAAUGCAUGUGCUCCUUUUUCUACUGGUUUUCAGGCUAUCUUUUCAAGAGGUGGAUGUAUGGCACACAGCCAAUUUGGCACAUGCGAGUGAUAUUUAGAGCCAUUCAUCAGGUGGUAGACACCACAAACAUGACCUGGCCUAAAAAUAAGGUAGUCCAUUAAAUGGGUUGUACUUUUACAAGAAAAGUGGUCUGUUGAAGAAAAGAUAUAAUCUAAAUUUAAUGCAUGCAUGUUGCCAACCGAAUGGAUAGACCAUAUUUAUUUUUAGGAUAGGGCAUUUUUACAGAAGUCCCAACCACAAAUGAGUUGCUCAAAUCUUUUUUCGAGCAUGCCAUUCUGGCAUGUUUGCCUUGGAUUGCCUCUUCACAUGAUUCGGCUAAACAUUGCUUUAUUUUGUUUGUUUUUUAUAUUAUAGUCUCAACAAUUGGCUUUGGUUUUCACAAUAAACAUGGCAAACUAUCUUAACUUUAGAAUCUCUGUAGAUUGAGCUGAUUACGUCUCCCUUACCAUUCGUAGCCCCGCUUGGUCUAGAACGAGCUCCCCUCAGGUCAAGAGUGCAUCAAGCAUAUCCAAAAACUAGGUACAUAAAAGGCCAUCACAUUAUGCAGCU